rnacentral:rRNA from 1 species
UACGGAGGAUCCGAGCGUUAUCCGGAUUUAUUGGGUUUAAAGGGUGCGUAGGCGGCCUGUUAAGUCAGGGGUGAAAGACGGUAGCUCAACUAUCGCAGUGCCCUUGAUACUGAUGGGCUUGAAUGUACUAGGGGUAGGCGGAAUGUGACAAGUAGCGGUGAAAUGCAUAGAUAUGUCACAGAACACCAAUUGCGAAGGCAGCUUACUAUGGUAUAAUUGACGCUGAGGCACGAAAGCGUGGGGAUCAAACAGG